AGAGGAAACAAAAACUUUAUUCUUUCAUAGGAUCAGACAGGGGUGAUGACAAUCAAGGGGGCAGAUACUAUAAUUUCCAGCAGAGAUGAGGUGGGUAUCCAGUGGGCUCCUGGAGAGUGGAUAGCAAGAUCCACUGUGGAGGGCUCAGCCGCUCUCCAGGAGCAUCUCAGCAAUGGCCAAGGGCUCAGAGACUGGGGUGUUGGGAAGGAAAACACUAGGCUGACAAAGGCUUUGGAUUCUUGUUUCCUCUGAAAUCACGUGUCUCAGCAUCAGGAGGCCAGGUCAGCAGCAGGCCUCAGAGCCCUGGCCACAGCAAGAGCAUCCGAACUGCAGAGCACCGUCACCAUCACAGGACUCUGGGCUCUGGCGCCGGCAGCGGUGGGGCCUGCGGCGCCUGUGGGGGCCCAGGCAGCAGCCGCCCCCAGAGCUGGGAGCACAGCCUGAGGAGGCUGGAUGCAGACCCUGUGCUGGGCUCUUUGGGGGCACUUGGGGCAGGGGCACUUGGGAGGGCUCUGGCACUGCUGCUGGUUCUGCUGGGAGGACAUCUCGGCGGGAGGUCGGCAAACCUGAGCGAAACAGAAAUGAAGCAAGUAUGUGUCAACGCAGAGGCUUCAGGCCACUGUUUCAUUUAUUUGUAGGUCCUUUUCCCCUCAGACCAAUUGCUCCUGGAGUCAGGAUCAGAAGAGAGGUGGGAACUGAUUUGGAGUUAAAUGUGCCUAAUGAGUUGUCUUUGCUUCAUCUCUCUCCUGGAAGGAAAGAAAGCUGACAGACGUCCAGGUGAGUCUCCAGAGACACUGCAAACACCCUACAGAUGUAGCGUGAAUGGCGUCCCCUGCAGGCAGGCAGCGCACACAACACACAACUGUCCCAUAAAUCUCUCCUCUGUUUAGACACCCAAUCCACCUGCAGUUCAGGAGAUCCCCAUUUGAUUCCUGGGUCAGGAAGAUCCCCUGGCUAAGGGAUAGGCUACCCACUCCAGUAUUCUUGGGCUUCCCUUGUGGCUCAGAUGGUAAAGAAUAUGCCUGCAAGGGAGGAGACCUGGGUUUGAUCCCAGGGUCAGGAAGAUCCUCUGGAGGAAGGCAGGGCAACUCACUCCAGUAUUCUUACCUGAAGAAUCCCCAUGGAAGGAGGAGCCUGGUGGGCUCUAGUCCAUGGGGUCACAAAGAAUCAGACAUAACUGAGUGACUAAGCACAUUCCAGACACCAAGCGAGGAGCCAAGAGAUCACUGAGG
rnacentral:lncRNA from 1 species